GAUGAACGCUGGCGGCGUGCUUAACACAUGCAAGUCGAGCGAAGCGCUUUACUUUGUAUUUCUUUCGGAUUGAAAAGUAGUUGCGACUGAGCGGCGGACGGGUGAGUAACGCGUGGGCAACCUGCCUCAUACAGGGGAGUAACAGUUAGAAAUGACUGCUAAUACCGCAUAAGACCACAGUACCGCAUGGUAUAGUGGUAAAAACUACCGGUGGUAUGAGAUGGGCCCGCGUCUGAUUAGGUAGUUGGUGGGGUAACGGCCUACCAAGCCGACGAUCAGUAGCCGACCUGAGAGGGUGACCGGCCACAUUGGGACUGAGACACGGCCCAAACUCCUACGGGAGGCAGCAGUGGGGAAUAUUGCACAAUGGGGGAAACCCUGAUGCAGCGACGCCGCGUGAAGGAAUGAAGUAUUUCGGU
rnacentral:rRNA from 1 species